rnacentral:rRNA from 1 species
AACGAACGCUGGCGGCAUGCCUAACACAUGCAAGUCGAACGAGACCUUCGGGUCUAGUGGCGCACGGGUGCGUAACGCGUGGGAACCUGCCCUUAGGUUCGGAAUAACUCCCCGAAAGGGGUGCUAAUACCGGAUAAUGUCUUCGGACCAAAGAUUUAUCGCCUUUGGAUGGGCCCGCGUUGGAUUAGCUAGUUGGUAGGGUAAACGCCUACCAAGGCGACGAUCCAUAGCUGGUCUGAGAGGAUGAUCAGCCACACUGGGACUGAGACACGGCCCAGACUCCUACGGGAAGCAGCAGUGGGGAAUAUUGGACAAUGGGCGAAAGCCUGAUCCAGCAAUGCCGCGUGAGUGAUGAAGGCCUUAGGGUUGUAAAGCUCUUUUACCCGGGAUGAUAAUGACAGUACCGGGAGAAUAAGCUCCGGCUAACUCCGUG